GUGCACAGGGACCCUGUGGGCAAGAAUGGCAAAGGCGCACACGGGAGCACUGGCCAGAUGACAGAGGAGUGUCAUUGAGGAUUCUCCAGGGAUGAAGGUUCACUGCAGUCAAGGAAAAUGGUGACCACCAUGUGGCUCCUCUUUGAGACUAUCUGCAAACAAUGUGACAAUUUCCCAUGGAGGCUGGGAUCCUGCCCUGUAGCCAGGAGAUUUCGGAAUCAUUGGAAUCAGUGUAUAAACAUGAAUGAUGAUGUCCUUGCCUAGAAAGAAUCCUGAUCAGCAACUGAGGGUAAACAAUGUGAUGUGAAGAAGAAUGGAAGAUUAUUCUGGAACGCUUGGAGCAAGUGGGACGCUGGUGGACAAGAGAAGAUGUAUCACAACAAGAUCAGCUAGACCUUGACCUCAAGGACGAAAGCGGGUGCUAUCUGCCCAGAGGAAUCCCGCACUACCUAGACAGAAAAUCUGGCUUGGUGGUUCCCGACUGGAGAAGACUGCCACAGGUCCAAAGCUGGGUACACACAGGUCCUGCAGUCUCCUGGGUAGCUGGUGUGAGUAACCAGGUGUUUGUCUUACAG